AUUUUUAUUUAUUUUUAAUCUCCUCUUCCAAACAUCUAAUGAAGCCCGUAAGAGGUGCAACGCAACAGAAAAACGCCGCACCGCUCAAAGACUUUCUUUUCCCUUCUCUCUCUCCCCCUACCAGAUCCCUUUUACUAUCUCUCUGUUCUUGCGUUUUACUCUUUUGCUUCCAAAUAUUAAAGAAUGUAAUCAAAUCUUUACCACAUACUUUCAUACAUGAAAGACCUAUUACUAGAAGAGAAAGCAAGAGUAAAUUUGUUUUCCUCUCGUGCAAACAGCCCAGUGAAGGAUGAGGCGCAAAGAAGAAGUUUACACAAUAUUUCAGAUUUUCUGAGAAGAGGACGAUGAACCAAAGAGAUUGUGAGAUUUGUUUGUACAUGUUUUUGUCAAAGGGUUGAAAGAUGUGAUGCAGUGAAAAUAAGAUUUGUACUGAAUUAUCAGAUAUUCAACCACUAGAAGAUGGAAUCUUGAUAAGCAAGAUCUUUGUGUCUUAUAUGUGUUUACCAUAUUUUUUUAGCAGAUUAACAUCUGUAUUUACUGCCAGGACUACUCAAUUUCAGGAUGAAGAUUUUCAUUGGACAGAACUCAAAAAAGUGUGAAGUAUAAUGUAAACUCUUUGUACAUAGAUGUUCUAAAUUUACUCAUAUACUUUAUGCUAUUUCAAUAUUCACCUUGAUAAAACAAUUACUUCAGUUUUAUCUCUAGCAUUGUCUUCAUACAUUUGUCCUCAUCUUAUUCAUCUCUAAUAAGAAUGAAUUUGUGAGUUUUCCUCUUUAUUUUAUAGUAGAAGUAUUUUAGUGAAGUGAUGGUCAUAAAUGCAUAGCAACUGGCAAGUUAUAGAAUAGAAUUCUCUAUGCCCUUAGGUUGUUAUAUUUUUCAUAGUAAGUAUAUGUACUUCAUGCAUA